GAUACCCUGGUAGUCCACACUGUAAACGAUGGAUACUAGGUGUAGGGUGUAUUAAGCACUCUGUGCCGCCGCUAACGCAUUAAGUAUCCCACCUGGGGAGUACGACCGCAAGGUUGAAACUCAAAGGAAUUGACGGGGGCCCGCACAAGCAGUGGAGUAUGUGGUUUAAUUCGAAGCAACGCGAAGAACCUUACCAGGGCUUGACAUAUACCGGAAUAAUCUAGAGAUAGAUUAGUCCUUCGGGACUGGUAUACAGGUGGUGCAUGGUUGUCGUCAGCUCGUGUCGUGAGAUGUUGGGUUAAGUCCCGCAACGAGCGCAACCCCUGUCCUUAGUUGCCAGCACGUAAAGGUGGGAACUCUAAGGAGACUGCCGGUGAUAAAUCGGAGGAAGGUGGGGAUGACGUCAAAUCAUCAUGCCCUUUAUGUCCUGGGCUACACACGUACUACAAUGGCCGUGACAGAGAGAAACGAAGUAGUGAUGCAGAGUAAAACUCAAAAAACGGUCUCAGUUCGGAUUGAAGGCUGAAAUUCGCCUUCAUGAAGCUGGAAUUGCUAGUAAUGGCAGGUCAGCAUACUGCCGUGAAUACGUUCCCGGGCCUUGUACACACCGCCCGUCACACCAUGAGAGUUGGAAAUACCCGAAGCCUGUGAGCUAACUUAAAGAGGCAGCAGUCGAAGGUAGAGCCAAUGAUUGGGGUGAAGUCGUAACAAGGUAAC
rnacentral:rRNA from 1 species